AAAAUAAAAUUUGAUUUUAAAAAAAUUUAAUUUUUAAACUAGGAUUAGAUACCCUAUUAUUUUAAGCUUAAUGUUGGUAGUAAGUAAAAUUUAUGAAAUCAUAAAAUUUUGGCGGUAUUUUAAGCUUGUUAGAGGAAUUUGCUCUAUAAUGGAUAUAACGCCUAUAUCUUACUUAAUUUUGUAAUUAAAGUCAGUUUGUAUACCACUAUAUUUAAUUAUAUUGAAUAAUUAUAUUUAAGAUUUUUAUAUAAAUAUAUAUUAAGUCAAGGUGCAACAAAUAAUUA
rnacentral:rRNA from 1 species